rnacentral:rRNA from 1 species
UACGUAGGGGGUUAGCGUUGUCCGGAAUCAUUGGGCGUAAAGAGCGCGUAGGCGGCUAGGUAAGUCCGGUGUGAAAGUCACAGGCUCAACCUGUGAAUGCCGCUGGAAACUGUCUGGCUAGAGUCCGGAAGGGGCGAGUGGAAUUCCUGGUGUAGCGGUGAAAUGCGCAGAUAUCAGGAGGAACACCAAUGGCGAAGGCAGCUCGCUGGGACGGUACUGACGCUGAGGCGCGAAAGCGUGGGGAGCAAACAGG